UAAAGAAGAAAUAAUAAGACUCGCCCUUUCCACUUUCCACUUUCUAUCUAUCCAUUCACUUCUAUAGGCAGUACCACUAGGAGUUAGUGGUCCGUUACUAUAAACUAACAUAAAUUUUUUGAAAGUUAAUAUACUGUACGUUACUAAAUUUCUCCUCUCUCGGGCUCCUUCUUCUUCUUCAAUAAAAUCAUCAAAAACAACCAUUCUCUGCUCAGAUCUAGUCCAUUUUUGGACUAGAUCUGAGCAGAUUUCUUCAUUAUUAAUUGCUUUCUAGGUUGGGAUCUAAGAUCAAUAGUGAUGCUCUCCAACGACGAAAUUUCCAUCUUUAUUGUCUCCGGCGACGAACUCUUCAUCGGAAUCUUCAUCAUCAACUUUUCCGGCGACGAAAUCUACAUCGGUGGCCUUUUUGAUGACGGAAGCUUCAUCACUAUUUACAAGAGAUUUGAGCAAAUCACUCCUACUUUGGAGGCAUUUCUUUCUAAAGAAGAAAAACAAACUAAAUGUUUGGAAUUUAAUUCCGAGAAAAACCAUCCUUCUUCCGAUUUAAUCGGAUCUUAUUCAUACUUGUAUUUGUCUUACUCCGGUAAUCCUUCUCUUUCUCUUGUCGGAUUUCUCGGUAUUGUACUCUUACGGUAUGUUCUUUUUACUUUAUAUUCUCUUAUUUUCGAUCUUAAACUCAUUGUAACCUUGAAAUCUCAUUAAUGAAAAUGUUCCUUGUCUA